rnacentral:rRNA from 1 species
CCUACGGGGGGCAGCAGUGAGGAAUAUUGGUCAAUGGACGGAAGUCUGAACCAGCCAUGCCGCGUGCAGGAAGACGGCUCUAUGAGUUGUAAACUGCUUUUGUACAAGGAUAAACCUGUAUACGUGUAUUCAGCUGAAUGUACUUUACGAAUAAGGAUCGGCUAACUCCGUGCCAGCAGCCGCGGUAAUACGGAGGAUCCAAGCGUUAUCCGGAUUUAUUGGGUUUAAAGGGUGCGUAGGUAGAUCUAUAAGUUAGCGGUGAAAUGUCGUGGCUUAACUCGGGAACUGCCUCUAAUACUGGAGAACGAGAGAGUAGAUGAGGUAGGCGGAAUGUAUGGUGUAGCGGUGAAAUGCUUAGAAAUCAUACAGAACACCGAUUGCGAAGGCAGCUUACCA